UACGUAGGGUGCGAGCGUUAAUCGGAAUUACUGGGCGUAAAGCGUGCGUAGGCGGUUGGCAAAGUCAGCUGUGAAAGCCCCGGGCUUAACCUGGGAAUGGCGGUUGAAACUAGUCGACUAGAAUCUGACAGAGGGGGGUGGAAUUCCACGUGUAGCAGUGAAAUGCGUAGAGAUGUGGAGGAACACCAAUGGCGAAGGCAGCCUCCUGGGCCAACACUGACACUCAUGCACGAAAGCGUGGGGAGCAAACAGG
rnacentral:rRNA from 1 species